GACGAACGCUGGCGGCGUGCUUAACACAUGCAAGUCGAACGGAAAGGCCCUGCUUGCAGGGUGCUCGAGUGGCGAACGGGUGAGUAACACGUGGGUGAUCUGCCCCUUACUUUGGGAUAAGCCUGGGAAACUGGGUCUAAUACUGGAUAGGACCAUGCUGUAGGUGGUGUGGUGGAAAGAUUAGUUUCGGUAAGGGAUGAGCUCGCGGCCUAUCAGCUUGUUGGUGGGGUAAUGGCCUACCAAGGCGUCGACGGGUAGCCGGUCUGAGAGGGUGGACGGCCACAUUGGGACUGAGAUACGGCCCAGACUCCUACGGGAGGCAGCAGUGGGGAAUAUUGCACAAUGGGCGCAAGCCUGAUGCAGCGACGCCGCGUGGGGGAUGACGGCCUUCGGGUUGUAAACUCCUUUCAGCCAUGACGAAGCCCUUGUGGUGACGGUAGUGGUAGAAGAAGCACCGGCUAACUACGUG
rnacentral:rRNA from 1 species